rnacentral:misc_RNA from 1 species
AAGUCGUAACAAGGUCUCCGUUGGUGAACCAGCGGAGGGAUCAUUAGAGAGUAUAACAACUCCCACACCCAUGUGAACAUACCUCCCGUUGCCUCGGCGGGGUGAGGGAAUCACCCGCCAGUGACUACCCGGGUACUCGUUACCCGGGAGUACAGGGUCCCUUCCUCCGCCGCAGGCCCGCGAAACUCUGUUUUCUCUUGGAACUCUGAAUACCUAAACAAAUAAGUUAAAACUUUCAACAACGGAUCUCUUGGUUCUG